AGGGGUAUAGCUCAAUGGUAGAGUGCUUGCCUAGCAUGUGUGAGGCCUUGGGUUCCAUACCCAGUACUGCAA
rnacentral:tRNA from 1 species